CGGGUGAGUAACACGUGGGUAACCUGCCUGUAAGACUGGGAUAACUCCGGGAAACCGGAGCUAAUACCGGAUAGUUCCUUGAACCGCAUGGUUCAAGGAUGAAAGACGGUUUCGGCUGUCACUUACAGAUGGACCCGCGGCGCAUUAGCUAGUUGGUGAGGUAACGGCUCACCAAGGCGACGAUGCGUAGCCGACCUGAGAGGGUGAUCGGCCACACUGGGACUGAGACACGGCCCAGACUCCUACGGGAGGCAGCAGUAGGGAAUCUUCCGCAAUGGACGAAAGUCUGACGGAGCAACGCCGCGUGAGUGAUGAAGGUUUUCGGAUCGUAAAGCUCUGUUGUUAGGGAAGAACAAGUGCAAGAGUAACUGCUUGCACCUUGACGGUACCUAACCAGAAAGCCACGGCUAACUACGUGCCAGCAGCCGCGGUAAUACGUAGGUGGCAAGCGUUGUCCGGAAUUAUUGGGCGUAAAGGGCUCGCAGGCGGUUUCUUAAGUCUGAUGUGAAAGCCCCCGGCUCAACCGGGGAGGGUCAUUGGAAACUGGGAAACUUGAGUGCAGAAGAGGAGAGUGGAAUUCCACGUGUAGCGGUGAAAUGCGUAGAGAUGUGGAGGAACACCAGUGGCGAAGGCGACUCUCUGGUCUGUAACUGACGCUGAGGAGCGAAAGCGUGGGGAGCGAACAGGAUUAGAUACCCUGGUAGUCCACGCCGUAAACGAUGAGUGCUAAGUGUUAGGGGGUUUCCGCCCCUUAGUGCUGCAGCUAACGCAUUAAGCACUCCGCCUGGGGAGUACGGUCGCAAGACUGAAACUCAAAGGAAUUGACGGGGGCCCGCACAAGCGGUGGAGCAUGUGGUUUAAUUCGAAGCAACGCGAAGAACCUUACCAGGUCUUGACAUCCUCUGACAACCCUAGAGAUAGGGCUUUCCCUUCGGGGACAGAGUGACAGGUGGUGCAUGGUUGUCGUCAGCUCGUGUCGUGAGAUGUUGGGUUAAGUCCCGCAACGAGCGCAACCCUUGAUCUUAGUUGCCAGCAUUCAGUUGGGCACUCUAAGGUGACUGCCGGUGACAAACCGGAGGAAGGUGGGGAUGACGUCAAAUCAUCAUGCCCCUUAUGACCUGGGCUACACACGUGCUACAAUGGACAGAACAAAGGGCUGCGAGACCGCAAGGUUUAGCCAAUCCCACAAAUCUGUUCUCAGUUCGGAUCCGCAGU
rnacentral:rRNA from 1 species